UCAAAUAACACAGCAAAUUCCUCUGAGUCGGUGGUGUCUGCCAGUGCUCCUUUGAAAGAUAACCUAACUACUUCAGAGUCUGGCAAAGCUGAUGCUAACGGAGCACCGGCUUUGAGUGAACCAAGUAACGCUGUACAAGAUGGAAAGGAGUCUGAAACCACAAAUUCACCGGAUGGACCAAAGCAAGGUGAGCUUCAUCUGUAUCCUGUCUCUGUCACAGCACAGAGUGGCGAGAAGCUUGAGCUGCAGUUGAACCCUGGAGAUUCUGUCAUGG
rnacentral:misc_RNA from 1 species